rnacentral:rRNA from 1 species
GUCUGGCGGCUGUAGCGCGGUGGUCCCACCUGACCCCAUGCCGAACUCAGAAGUGAAACGCCGUAGCGCCGAUGGUAGUGUGGGGCCUCCCCAUGCGAGAGUAGGGAACUGCCAGA